rnacentral:rRNA from 1 species
GCUUGCUGGGGUGAUUAGUGGCGAACGGGUGAGUAACACGUGAGUAACCUGCCCCUGACUCUGGGAUAAGCCCGGGAAACUGGGUCUAAUACUGGAUAUGCACCGUGGACCGCAUGGUCCUUGGUGGAAAGAUUUUUUGGUCAGGGAUGGACUCGCGGCCUAUCAGCUUGUUGGUGAGGUAAUGGCUCACCAAGGCGACGACGGGUAGCCGGCCUGAGAGGGUGACCGGCCACACUGGGACUGAGACACGGCCCAGACUCCUACGGGAGGCAGCAGUGGGGAAUAUUGCACAAUGGGCGAAAGCCUGAUGCAGCGACGCCGCGUGAGGGAUGACGGCCUUCGGGUUGUAAACCUCUUUCAGUAGGGAAGAAGCGAAAGUGACGGUACCUGCAGAAGAAGCGCCGGCUAACUACGUGCCAGCAGCCGCGGUAAUACGUAGGGCGCAAGCGUUAUCCGGAAUUAUUGGGCGUAAAGAGCUCGUAGGCGGUUUGUCGCGUCUGCCGUGAAAGUCCGAGGCUCAACCUCGGAUCUGCGGUGGGUACGGGCAGACUAGAGUGAUGUAGGGGAGACUGGAAUUCCUGGUGUAGCGGUGAAAUGCGCAGAUAUCAGGAGGAACACCGAUGGCGAAGGCAGGUCUCUGGGCAUUAACUGACGCUGAGGAGCGAAAGCAUGGGGAGCGAACAGGAUUAGAUACCCUGGUAGUCCAUGCCGUAAACGUUGGGCACUAGUGUGGGGGACAUUCCACGUUUUCCGCGCCGUAGCUAACGCAUUAAGUGCCCCGCCUGGGGAGUACGGCCGCA